UUGAUAUAUCUAAUACAGGCAUCUUGGUAUAUUUUUGCAGGUUGGAUCAGCAGACCACCACAUCCAUUAUUAUGAUUUGAGAAAUAUUAGUCGGCCAGUCCAUGUUUUCAGUGGACACAGAAAGGCUGUUUCAUAUGUGAAAUUUUUGUCUAAUUAUGAGCUUGCUUCUGCAUCAACAGAUAGUACACUAAGAUUAUGGGAUGUGAAGGAAAACUUAGCAGUUCGCACUUUCAAAGGCCAUGCAAAUGAGAAAAACUUUGUUGGUCUUACUGUUAGCAGUGAAUAUAUUGCAUGCGGGAGUGAAACAAAUGAAGUAUUUGUCUACCACAAGGAAAUCUCAAAACCUUUGACUUGGCAUAGGUUUGGGUCCCCUGAUAUGGAUGAUGCCGAAGAUGAGUCAGGAUCAUACUUUAUUAGUGCUGUAUGUUGGAAGAGUGAUCGACCAACUAUUUUAACUGCCAACAGUCAAGGCACCAUUAAAGUGUUGGUGCUUGCAGCUUGAUCAUGAGCAAAAUGAAUAGAAUGUGGAUUUGGUAUUAUCUUUUCCUAUAUCAUUUGUUAAUUGUACAUAAUAUUCAAAUGUAUAUUGCAGGUUUUAGGAUCUUAAUGCAACAUCUGAACCUGUAUCAAUAAACCAAUUGAGGGACCUAUCAUUAAUUUACCAAUUGAGGACCUCAAAUGUAUUAAAAUUUUGUACUAACAAAUCCCCCGGAUACUAAAAGAUAAACUUUGGCAUGUGAUAGUAAUAAUAUUGGCAAAGCGCAUGAUA